ensembl:lncRNA
UCUUUUAAUUUAAGACCACGUUUAAUGGGAUCUUGACCUGCCUGGUGGGAUCUGGAGCAGUGGGUUUGCAAGCCCAUCCCAUAAAAGCAAUGAGAAACCUUGCAGCCGUGGGGCUCAGCAGCCUCCUAACUGCCUGGAGGGUGUUUAUUUUUGUCGUUAAAAGGCGAGCAUGUGUUUCUCUUCUAUCCUGCUACUUCCACAGCUGCCUACUGGGGAUUUUAAAUUAUUUUUAUUAUUUUAUAUUUCAUUUACGUCUGGAGCCCCUUUCAUGCUAGACACUGUACAAACACAGUCUUCCCUACUGAGCUUACAAUCUAGGCAGACAAUGGAUGAGAGAAAUUAAGUUUUAAUGGCUCCAUUUUAUAGCACGGAAUUGAGACCUGCUGUUCCACAGUGUUUGGUCUAGGAUCACGCAGGGAACGUGUAGGCAAGCUGGGAAGGGAACCAGAUCUCACAGAAACAGAUCUCAAAAGGGUCAGUCUUUGUGCUGAGGCAUCUGUCAUCCCUCAGGCUGCUGUUUCUUCAGAGCCUGUGGUGGAGAUGUGAUCGGGUCUCACUGAAAUCGGGAGGAAUUGGUUCACAAAGCCACGCCACGCCAAGUGCUCCGCUCAGCAAAGGGAACCACCAGGGCAGAGACAGAGCAUAGAGCAAGUGUUAGAAAGUUAAAGCUGGAAUUGAGAGGUUUCUGUAUCGCUUUGGUGCGUUGUCCACCUACUUGCAGGUGCUGGGUAGCCUUUUCUGUGCAGUCAACCAUGGGUGUGCUUAGAAGAGCACCAAAGUGCCUAGAAAGCUGAAAUGGCAGGACGGGGAGGGUUAACAGAAGCCCUAGUACUACAAAUUGGCUUUGCACUGUUGUCCAGAGUCUGUCAAACUUGGAACCAAUGUUCGUACACAUUUACUUUGCAGGGAAAGCUGGGGGAUGCGCAGUGUCCAGAAGCACCACAGCAGUGGAGAGAGCUUCAGCCAGGAGAAGAAACCCCAGAAAAUGGCACUGUGGCAGGGCAGUACUGAUUUGAAGCUAGGGUGAUCAACAAACAGCUCUUUGCAGGAUCAGAAGGAUAUGAUAUGAACUGUUACGAUACACUCAAGAUACAUCCUGUGCAGGAAAUACAAGGGAAAAACCAAAGGUAUUUUUUAAAUCGUUAUAAUUUAUUUUCCACAAGUAGCAAAAUACAGUCAGUUUUCAGACGUAAGUAGAGAAUGUCAAGUUAGGAUCUUAGGUCAACAUUAAUAUGUUUCAUCAAGUGGCAGACUUAUUUUCUCUGUUAAACUUUAAGAUGAGCCAUGCACUCUGAAGUCACUGCUGUCUUGUUGAGAAGGCACCAGAUGCAGCUGUCCCAGAUGCUGCUUUAGUUUCUCAUUCUUGUAAAGGCAGCUGCAUGUUUUCCUAUUUAGAAUACAUCUGGUUGACAAAAAUGUAGAAAAUUCUCAGCUUGUAGAAGGGGAAUGGCUUUUAUUUUAUUAAACAGGAGUCGGGUACAAUUGCAUUUUCUGUUGGAGCAGUUUUCCUUGCUAGAAUAAUUUAGGUGAGGGUAUUUUUUAUAAAAGGUUCAGUUAAAGCAGUGUAUUUUCAGGGUACAUUCGUGUACAUAUUUAACUUUUUUAUGAGAAGCAGCUUUACAUGUAUGAAUACAUAUCAAGAGUAUAUUGUUACUGAUGAAGAAAACUAAAAAGACUCUGUAUUAUAAGUAUUUCUUACUCUGGCAAACUUCUUAUUAGCCAAGCGCCUUGUCUGUGCAAGGACUGUAGGGGAAAAACAAGAACAAGUGACUAUUCAGUGUGUCAGUCUUAACCAUCCCCUUUUAUAUGUCAGAGAAGCAGCACUUACAUAUGUAUUACAUGGCCAUUAUAAAAGAAAAUGCUUGAAACAACUGGAUGGGAUUGUCACUCAACAUAGGUAACUCAGAGCAGAAUGAAUAUGAGCUCAUGGCAAAAUCCCACACCCCUGAGCCAAAGGGUUUAGGAAGGAGAAUUUAUUUAAAGAUAAUUGUCAGACAGCUGUGUAAGUGGCAGCAUUAUCUCAAAACCAGCUAACUGUAAUCUCUCUUUGAAGGCUGAUGUUGUUGUUACUUUAGAACAAAAUCUCUGUUUUUUGACCUAUGAUCCAGCAUGUCUCCUAAUGGUUCCAUGAGUUGUAUUGAAAGAAGUGUGUCUGUUUAGCAGGCGUCUAUUUUGCUCUGCAUGGCUCUCUAUGUCCACUGGAAUGUGCCUCACAAGUUCCCCAAAUCAAAACUGUUCAGCUGCUGCUCGGGAAGGGGAGCAUGCUAUGUCCACUGAGUUAGGUUCCUGCCCAGCACCAAGAGCACUUCAUGGCCAAGACCUUUUGCCAUUGAUGUCUGACUCUGGGGAGAGCUGUGUGCUGUGGGGAUUAGAGUGUGCUAGUCAAUAACAGAUGCACAAACAAUUGCAGCAACUCCUCCCCAGUUGACAUUCAGAUGUCCUGUAACAGCGGUUCCCAGGGUAUUGUCUGUCAGUAGGAAUCUUCAUUCUUCUAGUAAAUGCAUCAAGUGGCGUAACAUUCAGGGUUUCUUUUCAAGGUCUUGUUUUACAUGACAAUAAUCUGUUGUUCAGCUGCCAUGUUCCUUUCAAGUACAUGACCCUGGCAGUAAUCUUCAAUGCUGUGACCAUCCUUUGCAUUAAAUCAAACUGCAGUGAAUGGCUUCUUUAUUAGAAGUGACAGUAUGAAUGCAAAACACAUUUUCAGUAGCUUAUAAGUGAAAUACGUAUCUGACUUGUAAAAAGACAGCUGCAGAAGUCCUUCUUGAAAGACACACUGGUUGGGAAGGGAGAAGAAAACCCACAUUUGUGUUUUUUAUCUCUUGAGGUCAGCAAGCAACUGCACAGAAAGCCCCCACACGUAUGUGAAAAUCAGCAGACUGCGUCCACAGGAGCUGAUAAAGCUAGAUAUAAGUGAGCUCCAGAUACUGGCAAAUAGCAGUGGUUGGACCAUAGGCACAACUGUAUCCUGAAUUUAAGUCUUUCCUUAAAAAACAGAUACAAACUUGUCCUGGGCUAGAAUCUGUAAAAUGCUGAGCAUUCCUGCACCAGUCUGCCAAAACACAUGCUUUAAUAUCAACCAUGUAAGUAAAGACUUGCUCAUCAUGUCAGUAGUAACGAUGACAUUUGGAUGGGCUGAAUGGCUAGGUGGUAAAAAAAUAAUGUUUUGAGUACCUGUCUGGAUCGGUGCAGAAGUAUCUGUUUCUUAGUUCACGUUUGUACCCUCAGUGGCUGGGGAGGCACCAGUUAUUUGGUGACUUGAAAGUUGUCGUUGUGCAAGAAGUUUGAAUCUAAACUUUGCUAGCUAACCCUUUGUCAGCCCUUGUGCAAGCAGAUGUCUUUUCAGAAGCUGAAGGAGGUUUUAUUGCUAAAGUGAAGCAGCUUUUCUAAAGAAUACGAGUCAAUGUUGGGAUGUAAUAACUUGUGCUCCUUAGGAUGCACCUUCCUUGUAACACCAGAUAUCAUUGCUACAGGCAAAAGCGAAGUGGCUGUUCUUUUCCUGACAAACCUGAGAUGCCACAAUCGUAUGCAUAGCUAUUGAAAUUACAGAUAUCAUACCAAAUAUGGAUUUGGUAUUAGUUAAGCAAAUUUCUCACGUUUUGUAGGGAAGGCAGGGCUGAGAGUUGCGUGCUAGGACACUUCACAGCUUAUAUUGCAUAUUGUGUUGUGCUUGGAGGCUGAGUCCGUUGGUGCUGUUUUGUCAUGAAUGCUGAAUCAGUGCAUCAUUUUCAUAUGUACAGAGAGUAAUAGGUGGUCUUAUUAAAUGCAACAUUCAAAGCAAGGACAAUGCUCUUGGAAGUUCAGCUCUAAAACAAGCAGUUCUGUUGCAUGUCUGUCUCUCUUGGUAUCGGUUGCUUUUAAGGAGAAUGUUCUAUUUUGAGCAUUUCUGAUUUAGACUAGGAAAGAG